UGAGGAAUAUUGGUCAAUGGACGAGAGUCUGAACCAGCCAAGUAGCGUGAAGGAUGACUGCCCUAUGGGUUGUAAACUUCUUUUAUACGGGAAUAAAGUGGAGUAUGCAUACUCCUUUGUAUGUACCGUAUGAAUAAGGAUCGGCUAACUCCGUGCCAGCAGCCGCGGUAAUACGGAGGAUCCGAGCGUUAUCCGGAUUUAUUGGGUUUAAAGGGAGCGUAGGCGGGUGCUUAAGUCAGUUGUGAAAGUUUGCGGCUCAACCGUAAAAUUGCAGUUGAUACUGGGCGCCUUGAGUGCAGCAUAGGUAGGCGGAAUUCGUGGUGUAGCGGUGAAAUGCUUAGAUAUCACGAAGAACUCCGAUUGCGAAGGCAGCUUACUGGACUGUAACUGACGCUGAUGCUCGAAAGUGUGGGUAUCAAACA
rnacentral:rRNA from 1 species